rnacentral:rRNA from 1 species
AUUGAACGCUGGCGGCAUGCUUUACACAUGCAAGUCGAACGGCAGCACGGGUGCUUGCACCUGGUGGCGAGUGGCGAACGGGUGAGUAAUGCAUCGGAACGUGCCUAUUAGUGGGGGAUAACGCUUCGAAAGGAGUGCUAAUACCGCAUAAUCUCUGAGGAGGAAAGCAGGGGACCUUCGGGCCUUGCGCUGAUAGAGCGGCCGAUGUCGGAUUAGCUAGUUGGUGAGGUAAAGGCUCACCAAGGCGACGAUCCGUAGCGGGUCUGAGAGGAUGAUCCGCCACACUGGGACUGAGACACGGCCCAGACUCCUACGGGAGGCAGCAGUGGGGAAUUUUGGACAAUGGGCGCAAGCCUGAUCCAGCCAUGCCGCGUGAGUGAAGAAGGCCUUCGGUGUAAAGCUCUUCGGCCGGAAGAAUCGUAUGGUUAAUACCUGUGCGGAUGACGGUACGGCAUAAGAAGCACCGGCUAACUACGU